rnacentral:rRNA from 1 species
UACGUAGGGUGCUAGCGUUGUUCGGAAUCAUUGGGCGUAAAGCGCGUGUAGGCUGUUAGUUAAGUCGGGUGUGAAAUCCCUGGGCUCAACCGAGGAAGUGCAUCCGAAACUAACUAGCUAGAAGAUGGUAGAGGAAGGUGGAAUUCCUAGUGUAGAGGUGAAAUUCGUAGAUAUUAGGAGGAAUACCGGUGGCGAAGGCGGCCUUCUGGACCAUUCUUGACGCUGAGACGCGAAAGCGUGGGGAGCAAACAGG